ensembl:lncRNA novel transcript
AGAGGGGAGGACGUGGGGCUAUCAGUCCAACUCCUCAGUUAAUAGCCAGGGAAACAGAAGCCCAGGGAGAUAAAGACGGUGGCAGAGGAGGAAUUCUUUCUUAGCAGAUCUUCCAUUCCUAAUCCAGGAUCAUUUCCAGGGCUCCCAGAACUCUUACCAAAACAGGAAUAGAAGACAUAGGGUGCAACCAUUUCUCCAGGCUGAAACAGAGCCCCUGAGGAAGGAGCAAAUCUGAAGUUCCCCUGCACCCAGGGCUUUGAUUCAGAUAUUGUUGGAGAGAGCAUUGCAUGGCUCAUGACUCACUAGGUGGUGGAUAAGCUCAUUGAGGAGAAAUCUUUUGCCACAUUUGGAGAAAGGAUUGAAGAGAAAUGAGAGCCUGGAUGUGAAGAAAACAUUAGGAAGCUGCAGCAGUAACCUAUGUGAGAAAUUAAGAGAACCUAAAUCAGAUCCGUUGGCCAUCAAGAUUUCACUCAUUUUGAGACCUAGAGAUUGGUGCUCCUGGAGCUGUGAAAUGCGUGGCCUCUGUAGCCCUGUGAAGGUCUUGUUUCUAUGGCGAUACAAGAGAAAGUCUUUGCAGAGUUGUUGCAGCUGGAAGUCUUCACUUACUUUAAGAGCUCAUUAAAGCUAGUGGAGCCUUCCAAACCUGAAAUGAACUGCUCCUUACAGAACUGCCAAAAGGAAGAAAUAGAAAAGAAAAAAGAAGCAAUAGGUCCAAAGUAAGUCCAAAACCCAAUAAGGCAAACAACACUGUCUACUCAUUAAAUACUGAGGCUUGAGAAUAA